CCCUUAGAUGUUCUGGGCCGCACGCGCGCUACACUGAUGCAUUCAACGAGUCCAACCUUGACCGAGAGGUCCGGGUAAUCUUUGAAACGGCAUCGUGAUGGGGCUAGAUUAUUGCAAUUAUUAAUCUUCAACGAGGAAUGCCUAGUAAGCGUGAUUCAUCAAAUCGCGUUGAUUACGUCCCUGCCCUUUGUACACACCGCCCGUCGCUCCUACCGAUUGAGUGUGUUGGUGAGGAGUUUGGAUUGGCCUCGGAAGGUGGUUCGCCACCGUCCGUAGCUGAGAAGUUCUCCAAACCGCCCCACUUAGAGGAAGGAGAAGUCGUAACA
rnacentral:rRNA from 1 species